rnacentral:rRNA from 1 species
GGCCGCGGGAAUUCGAUUCAGGCCUAACACAUGCAAGUCGAGCGGUAGAGAGAAGCUUGCUUCUCUUGAGAGCGGCGGACGGGUGAGUAAUGCCUAGGAAUCUGCCUGGUAGUGGGGGAUAACGUUCGGAAACGGACGCUAAUACCGCAUACGUCCUACGGGAGAAAGCAGGGGACCUUCGGGCCUUGCGCUAUCAGAUGAGCCUAGGUCGGAUUAGCUAGUUGGUGAGGUAAUGGCUCACCAAGGCUACGAUCCGUAACUGGUCUGAGAGGAUGAUCAGUCACACUGGAACUGAGACACGGUCCAGACUCCUACGGGAGGCAGCAGUGGGGAAUAUUGGACAAUGGGCGAAAGCCU